GAACCUGCGGAAGGAUCAUUUGCACAUGCCUAACAACCACAAACCUGAACGAAGUUGUGAGCAAUGGGGUGGUUCUUUUACAUGGGUCUGCUCCAUAUGCUCGUGGGCAGCGUGGCUAGCAACCGCUAGCAUUUUCGCGUUGUCAUGUGUGGCAAUAAUUGUGUUGUGUUAUUAUUAGGGUCAUUCAACAAAAUGUUACAAAAUGUUUUUGCAAUGAAUGUCUGAGCUCAAUUGAUGAUGAAGAAUGCAGCAAAAUGCGAUAUGCAUUGCGAAUUGCAGAAUUCCGUGAGUCAAUAGAUGUUUGAACGUUAUUUGCACCUUUGGGAUAUGCUUGAAGGUGUGCUUGAUUCAAUGUCGCUUAUUUUCCUAGCAAAAUGUUGCUGACCAGCAACUGUGUGAGCCUUGUGUGUCAAUGUUUCGCACAUUAGACAUACGUGUGUUUACCAGCUAUGCAACUUUGAUGUGUUUCUCAUAUUCUUGUCAUUAAUUGUGGUUGCAAUGCAUGGUGUGCGCAUAUGAAUUUGAAUGAUUACAUGAAGUGAAGCAUGUAAACCUGCUGAAUUUAAGCAUAUAAGUAGGCGGUGGAAAAUCAACCAAAUGGGAUUCCUUAAGUAAUUGCGAAUGAACAAGGAAAUGCUCAGCUUGAAAAAUGGGGCCUUUGGCUUUGAGUUGUAAUUUUGAAAUGUAUUGCCAAUAGAGGUGCAAGUGCAAGCCUAUUGAAAGAAAGCGUCAAUGAGGGUGAGAUUCCUUUUUGUCAUUUGCAAUCCUCCAUGCACGGUAUAUGCUUGACGAGUCACACUCCUCGGCAUUGGAAUGCAAAAUGGGUGGUAAAUUCCAUGUAAAGGUAAAUAUAUUAUUGAGAUUGAUAGCAAACAAGUACCAUGAGGGAAAUAUGAAAAGGACUUUGAAAAGAGAAUUAAAAGAGUCUGCAUUUGCUGAACAACAAGCAAACAGAAUUUGUUUAAUUGGUGAGAUUGUUGUUUCCUCUUGAAACAAUGUAUGUUAAAGAGAGGUGCAAUGGUUCUUUCCUUGAAUGUCACUUUCUAUUUCGGCAAAUCAUUAUCCUUGUACAUGAAUGGUAAUUUGCUUGCGGGCAUUGGGAUAUGUGUACUUGCGAUGAUUUGUGAUUUGAUACACGUGUCUGGUGACUUUUGUUGGGGCUCUCUUUGUCGACAGAAUUUUUCUGCUCUGAACGCAUCAAGCCUUUACACAGCGUUGGUGGCAAAAUGUUUCUGCUUGACCCGUCUUGAAACACGGACCAAGGAGUCUAACAGAUGUGCAGGUCUGGAAAUGUUAAAUUGUUUUGAGCAAUGAAAGUAUUUGCUGGGAUAUUUGCACCAGCAACCGAUUGAUUAACAGACAGAGGUUUGAGUUUGAGCAUAUCUAUUAGGACCCGAAAGAUGGUGAACUAUGCCUGAACAGAAUGAAUUCAGAGGAAACUCUGAUGGAGGUUCGUAUCGAUA
rnacentral:misc_RNA from 1 species